rnacentral:lncRNA from 10 species
CUUCCUCACAGCCAGCAAGGACAGGGUCUCCCAGCAAGGAACAGAGUUGGUUCCUCAAUUGAACAGAAGAAACAGAAAAUCAGACACUUGCCUGGAUGCCACACUUACCGUACUAUCUUCGGGAGGAGAGGUAGGGAUGAGCAGAAGUCAAGCUUUGAUGGAAUUCACGUUAUCUGUUCAGUCACUAGCAGCCUUUGGACCUGAUGUCCUUCACAUACCGAGGAACACUUUGACUCAGAACAAAGGCACUCGCCGGCAAAGUUCAUGGCCUUCCACUGUUCUGACCACAGCAUAGAUCACUUUCACACCAUCCGGACAGUGCUUCAUUUCUGCUGACCACCUCCCUUGGCCCUGUUCCUGAAGAAUGGAAUAAUUAGAAAGUUUUUUCUAUGUUGUUUCUAUUAUGUAUGAGCUUUUUUUGGUGCCCUCGAGUGGUUUUGAGGGCAGAAAAAACUAUUCAGAGGUUAAUGUUGCUUUUUAAAAGUUAAUAUUAAAUUAUUAAAGUUACAGAUUAAUAAGCCCUAUUUUUCCUAAAGCUUUUAUGUUCUGCAUAAAAUCUUAUUGUUUCUUGUAUAUUGCAUAUGGUCUGUCAUAUUUUCAAGAACUGUGUUAAGGGCCUUUGAAUAAUAUGUGAUCCUAUUUAUAAGCUUAGCUAAUUUAACAUCCUCAAGCAUUUUAAAUUGAAUUUAUAAAUCAAUAUAUUCUAUUUAUCUUUUAAAAUUACUUCAAUUUUCUGAUUAAACUAAUAUAAUCUUUCUGAGUACUUAACACAGAAUACCUAUACAUCAAACUCAUAAAUAGGGUUAACUUUAAGUUCCUUUAAAUAUUUCAAUGACCUAUAUAAACUUAGUAAUAUUAUAACUUUAAAACUAAAUCAAUUAUUCACACAUUAUAAAUUGGAAUCUAAAAUCUGUUCAUUUUAAUUAUUAGGCCAAAUUGUCUUAAACAUUACAUGCAUGUGAGAUACCAAAUACGUGCUUCUAUCUCACAUAAAGGAUUAAUAUACAACAGGUUAAUUUCCUUAAACACAUCCAUACUUGAAUUGAAAUCAGCCUAGGGUUGGGUGAUACUUACCCACUGUACUGUAUUAGUUUCUCUGGGCUGCUGUAAUAAAUCAUCAUAAACCAGGUGGCUUCAAACAACAGAAAUUUAUUCUCUCACCAUUUUGGAGGCUGGGAUUCCGAAAUCAAGGUGUCAGCAGGGCCAUGACCCUCUGGAGUCUCUAGAGGUGAAUCCCUCCCUACCUCUUCCAGCUUUUGGUGGCUGUUGGCAUUCCCGGGCUUCCUUGGCUUGUGGCCACAUCACUGCUAUCUCUAGCUUCAUGUUCACAGCACCUUUGCCUCCACGUGUCUCCACUUUUCUUAUAAGGACGGUUGUCAUUGGAUUUAGGUCCCAGUCAGGUAUUCCAGGAUAAUCUUAUAUUAAGAUUCUUAACUUCAUUACAUCUGCAAAGAUCAAUUUUCCAAAUAAAGUAACAUGCACAAGUUCUAGGGAUUUGGAGGUAAACAUAUCUUUUUAGGGGCCACCAUUCAACCCACUGCACCCACAAAAGAGCUACCUGUCACUCCCAUGAGUCAUGGUAACGCCCAGAGGUGGUGUCUGGGAAGCUAACUGCCUUGCCAUCAGCAAUGCUGCUGGAACAUGCUUCGUUCUAUUUAUAGCGGCACUAUCAAUGCCCUUCAGAUGAUGUGUCUCACAGUCCAUGUCCCCAAGUUCACAUUCUACUUUACUGAGUUUCUUUAUCUCCUCACAGAAGCCUGCAGCACCCCCACCCCACUCCCCUGGACUGCAUACUUCACCCAAUUAUGUUUUGCAUAUAGAUAGAUAGAUAGAUAGAUAGAUAGAUAGAUAGAUAGAUAGAUGUAUAUUUGUGUAUAUACAUAUACAUAUAUAUGUGUGUAUAUAUAUAUGUAUUUUUUUUCUGAUUCUCUCCAAAGACAUUUGAACUUGAUAGAUAGAAUCCUGCAUUCUUUCAAUCUGUUAGGAUAAUUAAUUCUUAGGGCUAUUAAAAUGACAUCCAGUUGAAUUCUGGCACCUCUCUUAUGGCUUUGCCUGACUAGUUGGUCACACUUCUGAGGUCUUUCCACUGUUUCAAACAGCUGGGUAAGAAUUCUUUUAGGGCUUUCGGCAACUGUUGAAAAAGGAAUACCAAAGAACCAAUCCUGACAAUAGGUCUUUGCUUAAAGGAGGUAGAAUUGUGAAGUGAUAAAGAAACUCAAUCCCAGCACUUUGGGAGGCCAAAACAAGAUGUUUGCUUAAGGCUAGAAGUUUGAGACCAGCCUGAAUAACAUAGUAAGACCCCCAUUUCUAAAAAAAAAAAAAAAAAAGAUUAGGCAUGGUGGCCCAUGCCUAUAGUCCUACAUCCUCAGGAGGCUAAGGCAGGAGGAUGGCUUGAGCCCAAGAGUUCAGGGCUGCAGUGAGCUAUGAUCAUGCCACUGCGCUCCAGCCUGGGUGACACAGUGAGACAGAAAGAGAGAGAGAGAAAGAAAGAGAGAGAGAGGAAGAAAGGAAGGAAGGAAGGAAGGAAGGAAGGAAGGAAGGAAAUAGUAAGACCCCCAUUUCUAAAAAAAAAGAAAAAGAUUAGUCAGGCAUGGUGGCCUGCAUCUGUAGUCCUACCUCCUCAGGAGGCUAAGGCAGGAAGAUGGCUUGAGUCCAAGAGUUUGAGGCUGCAGUGAGUUAUGAUCAUGCCACUGCACUCCUGCCUGGGUGAUACACUGAGACCCUGGAAAGAAAAGAAAAGAAAGAAGAAAGAGAAGAGAAGAGAGGGAGGGGGAGGGAGGGGGGAUAGAGAAAGAAAGAAAGAAAGAGAGAGAAGGAGGGAGAGAGAGAGAAGAAAGAAAGAAAGAAAGAGAGAGAGAAAGAAAAGAAAAGAAAGAAAGAAAAAGAAAGAGAGAGAAAGAAAGAAAGAAAGAAAGAAAGAAAGAAAGAAAGAAAGAAAGAAAGAAAGAAAGAAAAAGAAAGAGAAAGAAAGAAAGAAAGAAAGAAAAAGAAAUUUAUAUAUACCUAUAUAUGCUGUGUGGUUUGGGAAAAUCACUUAACCUUUCUGAUCUGGUGUACUGGUGUACUCCUGUCUAUACAACGGAGGU